rnacentral:rRNA from 1 species
GACGAACGCUGGCGGCGUGCUUAACACAUGCAAGUCGAACGGAAAGGCCCUGCUUUUGUGGGGUGCUCGAGUGGCGAACGGGUGAGUAACACGUGAGUAACCUGCCCUUGACUUUGGGAUAACUUCAGGAAACUGGGGCUAAUACCGGAUAGGAGCUCCUGCUGCAUGGUGGGGGUUGGAAAGUUUCGGCGGUUGGGGAUGGACUCGCGGCUUAUCAGCUUGUUGGUGGGGUAGUGGCUUACCAAGGCUUUGACGGGUAGCCGGCCUGGGAGGGUGACCGGCGACAUGGGGACUGCGGUACGGCCCAGACUGCUACGGGAGGCAGCAGUGGGAAAUAUUGCAGAGUGGGCGGAAGCCUGAUGCAGCAACGCCGCGUGCGGGAUGACGGCCUUCGGGUUGUAAACCGCUUUCGCCUGUGACGAAGCGUGAGUGACGGUAAUGGGUAAAGAAGCACCGGCUAACUACGUG